GAUGAACGCUGGCGGCAUGCCUAAUACAUGCAAGUCGAGCGAGCAGACGAGUAGCUUGCUCCUGUGGCGUUAGCGACGGACGGGUGCGUGCCCCUUGGAGAGCCACCCUAUCAGACUAGGGUUACUACUACACACCAGAGCUAGUACCGGAUAAUAUAAUCAACCGCAUGGUUCACUAGUGUAAGACGGUUUUGCUGUCACUUAUAGAUCGUACCGCGCCGCAUAAGCUAGUUGGGUAGGUAAGGGCUUACAAAGGCACCGAUGCGUAGCCGACCAGAGAGAGGGAUCGGCCACACUGGAACUGAGACACGGUCCAGACUCCUACGGGAGGCAGCAGUAGGGAAUCUUCCGCAAUGGGCGAAAGCCUGACGGAGCAACGCCGCGUGAGUGAUGAAGGUCUUCGGAUCGUAAAACUCUGUUAUUAGGGAAGAACAAAUGUGUAAGUAACUAUGCACGUCUUGACGGUACCUAAGCAGAAAGCCACGGCUAACUACGUG
rnacentral:rRNA from 1 species